rnacentral:rRNA from 1 species
UCCGUAGGUGACAAGCGUUGUCCGGAUUUACUGGGCGUAAAGAGCGCGCAGGCGGUCGUUCAAGUCGAGUGUGAAAGCCCCCGGCUCAACUGGGGAGGGUCACUCGAUACUGAUCGACUCGAAGGCAGGAGAGGGUAGUGGAAUUCCCGGUGUAGAGGUGAAAUUCGUAGAUAUCCGGAGGAACACCAGCGGCGAAGGCGGCUUUCUGGUCCGAUACUGACGCUGAGGUGCGAAAGCGUGGGGAGCGAUCCGG